rnacentral:rRNA from 1 species
UCUUGGUUAUUGAUGUUAGAUGCUUGCAUUUAACUGAUUUAACAUUGAGACGAGUGGCGAACUGGUGAGUAACACGUGGGUAACCUGCCCUUGAAGUAGGGGAUAACACUUGGAAACAGGUGCUAAUACCGUAUAACAACCAAAACCACCUGGUUUUGGUUUAAAAGAUGGCUUCGGCUAUCACUUUAGGAUGGACCCGCGGCGUAUUAGCUUGUUGGUAAGGUAACGGCCUACCAAGGCAAUGAUAUGUAGCCGACCUGAGAGGGUAAUCGGCCACAUUGGGACUGAGACACGGCCCAAACUCCUACGGGAGGCAGCAGUAGGGAAUCUUCCACAAUGGACGAAAGUCUGAUGGAGCAACGCCGCGUGAGUGAUGAAGGGUUUCGGCUCGUAAAACUCUGUUGUUGGAGAAGAACAGGUGUGAGAGUAACUGUUCACAUCUUGACGGUAUCCAACCAGAAAGCCACGGCUAACUACGUGCCAGCAGCCGCGGUAAUACGUAGGUGGCAAGCGUUGUCCGGAUUUAUUGGGCGUAAAGCGAGCGCAGGCGGUUUCUUAGGUCUGAUGUGAAAGCCUUCGGCUUAACCGGAGAAGUGCAUCGGAAACCAGGAGACUUGAGUGCAGAAGAGGACAGUGGAACUCCAUGUGUAGCGGUGAAAUGCGUAGAUAUAUGGAAGAACACCAGUGGCGAAGGCGGCUGUCUGGUCUGUAACUGACGCUGAGGCUCGAAAGCAUGGGUAGCGAACAGGGUUAGAUACCCUGGUAGUCCAUGCCGUAAACGAUGAGUGCUAAGUGUUGGAGGGUUUCCGCCCUUCAGUGCUGCAGCUAACGCAUUAAGCACUCCGCCUGGGGAGUACGACCGCAAGGUUGAAACU